CAUAAUGGGGAAUUUGGACAAAUAGACCCAGCUUCAAACACUGGCUCUGCCCCUGCUGGCUUUAUAACUUUGGGCAAAUUUGUCUCUCUCAGCUUCUAUUUUCUCAUGUGGCCUUUGUGAGGAUAUAAUAAGAAAACCUACAUAAAUCCCCAGUCUGGAGUAGGUUCUUGGUGGGAAGGAAUGAUUGUAAGGACCUCUUCCAGUUCCAACCUCAUGGGAUUCUUGUGGUGCUGAUCUCCAGGUCCCUCCUUGUUUUGCAAGACGCUGCCCUAGGCCUCUCUCCAGCCCCAGUUACAACCGGAGCAGAGAGCAUGGGGCCCCUUCUCACUAUCCAUUCCUGCUCCACUUAAGAAUCUGCAUCUCCAGAGAGAAGGACGCUGUGCAGAGCUCCACCUCCAGUCACCUGAGCACAUGGGCGCAAAUGACGUGACUUUUCUCUGUCAUGAGAAUCCAUCGGAGACUGAACUAAAUGGAGGAACUGGAAAUCCGAGAGGAAAUGGGAUUUAAAGAAUGUUCUCAACAUGACUGAAUCCAAAGAGAAGCAGAUAUUUACCCCCAUGAGGUGCAGAUCCCUUCCAAUUCCUCUGCUGUGCGCUGCCCAUCAGAAGAUAUCCCAGGCUUACGGAAGAGCUGUUGAAAUGUCCAUUAAGAAAAAUUGAUUCUGAAGUGUGACAUCAUGUCCUUGAAGACACACGAUAUCAUGACAGGACAUGAUAUAAUGUCCUGUGCAAAUAGAAAUUGCAUUGUCAGAGACCCGAUUGCUUCAGGAGGAAAGAUACGGCUAUAAAAAUAAAAUCAUAAUUUAUGAAACUGAUGCUUGUGGUAGGAAUGUUCAGCGUUGAGUGCUCCUCCUUACCAUGAACCCCAAAUUUUGUGUUAGAUCCUACGUGACCAGUUGCUUACCUCCUUUCUCUUUUAUUGACAAAAUCUCAUAAGGACUGAGUUUUC
rnacentral:lncRNA from 1 species